GGCAGAAUAGGACAAUGGGUAGUCCGCUCCGCCGUGCGAAUCCGGCGGAAUUGUUAGCGGUUCGAAUCCGCUUUCUGCUCCA
rnacentral:tRNA from 1 species